GACUCGCGUCAUAGCUUUUCCUUCGUUUGGUAUCUUUGCCGAGGCUGUGCGAUUGGCCAUCUCCCCCUCGCGCUCUCGUGCCCUCACACGACCUUCUGCUCCCCGCACUGUUCGAUUCUGUGUCCUCGUGCCCUUCUGUGUGCUAUUCCGCUCCCGCUUCUGCUGCCGUGCACAAUCGUUGCCAUCACGGCCGUCUUCACCAUGUUCAGGCCGCCGCGUGCUCGUCCAACGACGCUCGUGGAAACCAGCGUUCUAGAGAGUACUCUCGCUUCACAGAUGCCUCUAGACAGGAUCCGAAGCCAGGUCGUUGGGUGGGGGAGAUGGAAGACUGCGGUUUGGAGCCCUACACUGUGUAACAUAGACUGCUACAGGAGGCUUCGGCUUUGGGAUGAAGGUAUGCGUGAUAUGGAGAUAUAACCCGAAGGCAGGAUGAACGGACGCUGAAGCUGUGGCUGAAGGAGCUUCGUCUUAGUAUAAUGAUGAAGGUGGAAGAUGAAACCGACCUAAAGGGGAAAAACUACUUAGUCCUUGAUAGCCCGCCUUAUGAUUAUCAGUAAAUAUCAGGGACAUGAAUGUAAUUUUAUCCGGACUGCGCCACGUGCUUAUAAAUAGAUGAACAGUAACACCAUACUGUUCACGCUGAAUGGUAAUCACUCUCGCGUCACUCUUGCAUUUUCACCUUCUGGCAAGCCGAAGGUAUUGAUGUAAUAUAAAUACCAUUGAUGUUUAUCCAUGUUUGUAAAAAGAGAAUAUAAAUAAUCUAAUGAUUUGUAAUGAUUAUUCGUAUU